rnacentral:rRNA from 1 species
UGCCAGCCGCCGCGGUAAUACUGAAGGUGCAAGCGUUAAUCGGAAUCACUGGGCGUAAAGCGCUCGUAGGUGGCUUUGUAAGUCAGAUGUGAAAGCCCACGGCUCAACCGUGGAAUUGCAUUUGAUACUGGCAGACUAGAGUGCGGGAGAGGGAGGUAGAAUUCCAUGUGUAGCGGUGAAAUGCGUAGAUAUGUGGAGGAAUACCAGUGGCGAAGGCGGCCUCCUGGCUCGACACUGACACUGAGGCGCGAAAGCGUGGGGAGCAAACAGGAUUAGAUA